AAUACAUUUUGUUGGGUAAUUAUUUUAGAGACGAGAGUGUGAUAAUAUGUUGAUGCAAUUGUGGGGUAUGGGUCCCACUAUGUGGGGAACCAUAUUUUCUGGCAUAAUGUAUUGUGUUUUUUUGGUUUUGCCAAAAGCCUUUUUUUUGGGCUUUUACAGGAUGUGGGCAUUAUUCUUUAGUCAGUCAAAAAUCAAUUUUAAAGAUAGAAAGAUUGAAGCUCAUCCGGAUAGAUAGAGAGAAUAAAAAAGAAAAAAAAAUCAGUUUUUCAAGUUUGGUCCAGCAGUGAUCAACUCUUCGAUCGAAGGUUCAUCCGUGGUUCGAUUGAGCUGAUUUUUGGACAGCAGCUAGGUGAUAAGUUGUUCUUGACUUUGUACGGUCGGAUUUUUCAUCCGAGUCUUGUAACUUCAGAAAUACCCGUUUUUCAGCAGCUGCGUUUUUUUGAAACUAAGAGAAAAAAAAGAAAGUUUCAGCUUUGAUAUUUUCGGUCCUUGCAUGUUCAAUUAGAUCAAGAACCAAAAAGAUCGGACGUGGAUCGGGGAAAAUUAAAAAUCGUUGAGUAGUCGAAUUCAACUAUCCGUCGAUAUCUGAGGUAAGUUAUUAAACAUAUAUUUUGUAUCGAUUUAAAUAACCAUAAUACCUAUGUAAUUAUGCCGAAUUGAAUGAUAUAUAUAUAUAUAUAUAUAUAUAUAUAUGCAUGUAGUGAUGAAAUUAUCGAAUGUAAAAAGAAGUGAGAUGUAUUGAUUUGUCGAUUUUCGGCACUAAGUGUGCGGGUAUAAAUAUUUACGAUUAUGAAAUUGGCACUCAGUGUGCGAGUUUAAUUGUAUAGCACUAAGUGUGCGAACUUAUUAUAUAUUUUCGAAUAACUAUUAGCAUUAAGUAUGCGACUUUAUCGAGUAAAUCAUGGACAGUGGAAUGAGUAAAUACUUUGAGUUCGUGAGGAAUAAAUGUUAUGUUUAUAUUUGAAA